CGGGGCGUGGCGCAGUUGGCUAGCGCACUAGACUGGGGGUCUAGGGGCCGCUGGUUCGAGUCCAGUCGCCCCGACCA
rnacentral:tRNA from 1 species